rnacentral:lncRNA from 1 species
CAGUCUUUCCUCUGAUGGAUUACUGAGUGCUUAUUUGAUCCAUGAUUGUCAAUCAUCCAUCCUUGCAACAUUUAACAAAAUACAGACCCACUCUGUUCUCAGAAAGCACCACACAGAGAUUCUGAAGCACUAAUCAGGAUGUAGAAAAACACUCCAGUCACCCUGCAUUGGAAACGGAGAAGUGCUUUCAGAGCCAUACUUCCUGCUGCGAGGUCAUUAGCAGUGCGUCCAUCCACAGCAAAGUGUUUUGCCACAGGAUGGAAAUUAUCUGGUUCCACCCCUGGAUAUGAUCAACCUUCAUAGACUGUGCAUUAUACAUGCCAUCUCUGCGACCUGCAAAGAUGAAAAGGGAAAGCAGGAGAUGGAAACUGGUCAGCAGCCUUCUGGUUUAUCAGCCACACUUACAAAGGUCAAAUGUGCAAAGCGUCAGAAGACAGUGGUUAGAGUGAGAUUCUACAUGCUCUCAAUGAAGAAUAAAGCAUGCAGGAAGAACCUUUCAAAAGGUUACAACCAGAGACCUGAAGGAAGCAAGGAAGAAAGCCACAUGGUUGUCAAAGAGAAGAGGAAAGGAGAUCACUAAGCUGGAUGACGUUUUCUGUUUCUUUGAAAACAGAGAAGAUGACAAGUUAGGGAGAGAUCAGAGGUCAUACUGUGAAGCACCUUUGGAUAAACGGCAGGGACUUUGGAUUUUCUUUUUGAAUAUAAGCAUAAUCCAUUGAAAGGUCUCAUGCAGGGAAGUGGCAAAACACUUUUAAAAUUUUUCAUCUUUUCUUUCUGAAGCAGAGUUCACUCUCCAUUUAUUUGUCUUCUUUGAUAUCUCUCAAUAGAAUGUUGCAGUUUUAGUAUUCUCCUAUUAAACAUUUGUUUAACUU